rnacentral:rRNA from 1 species
UACGUAGGGGGCAAGCGUUGUCCGGAUUUAUUGGGCGUAAAGAGCGUGUAGGCGGCCAGACAGGUCUGCUGUGAAAACUCGAGGCUCAACCUCGAGACGCCGGUGGAAACCGUCUGGCUAGAGUCCGGAAGAGGAGAGUGGAAUUCCUGGUGUAGCGGUGAAAUGCGCAGAUAUCAGGAGGAACACCGGUGGCGAAGGCGGGUCUCUGGGCAGUAACUGACGUGGAGGGAGCGAAAAGCCGUGGGGGAGCGAACAGG